GAAGCGCGGCAACGUGUGGAGCUGACGAAUACUAAUCGGUCGAGGGCUUAUCCAA
rnacentral:rRNA from 1 species